UCCGAGGGCUGUCCGAAACGCAAAAUCACUGCAAACUUGCAAAGUGCAAAUACACAUGAAGCAGAAGGAUGUGAAUUGAGGAUCUUUGAAAUGAUGAAAUGGGGACUUAUCUUUCAACUUCAACCUCAUACUCCAUUUCUUGUGCUUCCUAACCCUAAGGCUGUUCCCCAUUUCCGUACAAUAAUUAAUACUGCUUCUUCUCCGCGUUUCUCUUCUUCUUCUUCUUCUUCUUCUUCUUCUUCUCCUCCAUCUUCAUCUUCCGUCCAUCCCACUUUUACGUCUUCCUUCAGGUGUGCUGUGCUUGGUGCUGGUUUUGCUGGCUUAUCCGUGGCCUGGCAUUUACUCUCUCAAAGCCCUAAAGAACUUAAACUACAUGUUGACAUUUUUGAUGAUGUUGGAAUUGGUGGGGGUGCUUCUGGUGUUGCCGGAGGCCUUGUUCACCCUUAUUCCCCUAAAGUGAAACUUUUAUGGAGAGGUGAAGAAUGCUGGACUGAAUUUUUGAAUCUUCUUAGUGUUGCAGAAGAUGCAUUUAAUGGACUUUCUCACUGUCAACACAACACCAAUGGACUUAUUGUUAGGAGAACGGGCAUAUUGAGACCUGCUGUGAAUAAGAAGUUUUUCUAUGUCAUGAAUGAGAAUGCAUUGAGUUAUUUAGCCGGUUGUCCAAUACAGACCAUUGAUGAAAUUGCAGCAAGAAAGCUCAUACCAAAUUUAUGUACACCUUUGAACACUGCAUACUAUAUGCCUGAAGCUGUGAAUGUCAAUCCCCUGAACUAUCUGAAGGCACUUUUCCAAGCAAGUGAAAAUAUAGUGAAAAGAAUGUCAUCAAUUGGUUACUGUGGCAAGAAAAUAACUCUACACAAGAAACUUGUAACUUCAAUAUGUGAAGUGGGAGAUGAAUAUGAUGCUGUGAUAGUUUGCCUUGGUGCUAGAGUUGACAUGGUUGCUGAGUUGUCCGGAGUACUCCCUUUAAGGACAUGCAGAGGCAUUGUUGCGCACCUACAGUUGCAUGAUUCCUUCAGUGAAGAAUAUUGCGAAUAUAGCCCUUCAAUCCUAUCUGAUGUUUGGCUCGCUGUUCAGGGGCCUAGAAGUUUAUAUAUAGGCUCCACAUGGGAGUGGGGAUCAAGAAAUUUUUCUUCUAGUGUCUCCUAUGAAGAAGCCUCCAGUACUUUGCAACAACUUCUACCUAAAACAAGUAUGAUUUAUCCACAGAUAAGCAAUUGGACGGUAACAGGAGCGCAGGCAGGUGUUAGGGCAAUGCCACCUCUCACUUCACAAGGAUCAUUUCCUCUUUUGGGUUGUAUUGAUGAUCUUGUAAAGGGUGGCAAAUCUUCUUAUCCUUCUAAAUAUUGGUUAAUUGGAGGUCUGGGCGCCAGAGGACUUCUUUACCACGGCUGGCUUGGGAAGUUGACUGCACAAGCUGUGCUUUCAUCUAGCGAAGCUCUGUUACCUCUUGAGCUUACAUCCUGGAAGAAAUAAAGAAAAAGUGACUAGAGCUUUCAUCUACGACAUCUGUUUAUUAUCUUUUAGUAAAAUCAUUUGCUGUCGUAAAUGCUGCAAAACAAAUCUGUCGUAUUGAGUGGCAAUGAUAUUUCAGGAUACUUUGUCCCCUGUCAGCAGAAAAGAAAAUUCCCACUCACACUCAAAUAUUUUUGUCCAUCAAAAUGAGAGUUACAAUACGAUGUUUGCUGUGUGAUAAUUAUCAAUGGGAGUUAAUUUUUUGUAACGACCUCAAAGCGGAGUACUACAUUUACAACACAACCUUGUGAAAUCCUAAAAGAAGUAUAUUCUGUUAAGAAACAAGCUCAUGAUCAAUGCUAAGACAAAGGAGAGACACAGACUGGUGGUUCUCCUCUCACUAGAAUUCUUCUUCUCAUCUGCAGGUGGUUGACCUGCUGUGUUAUUUUCCCCCUUAGAAACUGAAGGUAGAGGUGGGUCCACAACACUCGCUGCAUCAAGUGUUGGUGCUGGUGCUCCUGCUGGUGGAAGCGCUUCUGGCACAACAAAGAAAAGCAGUUGCCCUGGUUCCGCUGGAGCUAGUGUGAAGUCCAUGUUUUCUAAUGCUGGAUCUGAGCAUGGGGUUCCUUCAAAAUUCACAAGAGAACUAUUAGAUCAUUUUUGGAAUCGUGAAUAAAUUUCGAACCUAAUAGUUAGCAAUAGGGUCAAUCUUAUGGAGAGACAAUGAGUUUUUGCUUACUGAAAUAGGCAUAUGCUGUAGCUGGGUACUCAGUGACCACUGCAUCAACCUUGGCUCCCUCGACAAAUGUUGCAAGCUCUAGCAUGGGAUCAUCAAAAAAAUCAAAUGCCAGGGUGGUGUACUCGUUGUACAGAAUGGAGACAUGUACCGAUAGAUUAGCUGCAUGCAUCUCUUCAACAACUCUGGUAAAGUUGCUGAAGAAAGAGGCUGUGCUUUUCAAAAUGCUGGACCUUCGAACAUCAACCGCAUCAGCGAAUUUCUUGAUUUCAUCCAGAGAUGGCUUUGGGGCGUCACCUAUAGUGUCCCUAAUUGCAUAAACUCUUCGAAAUGAUGGGACUUCCUUAAACUUUGCUAGCACCGAGGUAUCAUCUGAUUGGAUCAUAACUUGUGUUGGCUGCUUAUCUAAUGUGGCGUUGCUUAAAGCACUGGUGACAGCACCUACUACGUCAAGACCUUUCUUUGAGGCUAGGAAGUGUGCAUUCUAGUUAAAUCAACAAAACCGUUAAGGAUCUCUCAGAAAGCCAGAUCAUGUUUUCUCAGAGAAACUAAUUUAUAAAUGAACUAUUUAACGGAUGAAACUUAUACAUGAUUGGGACUUGAACUUACUAAGAUGUUGACGAGAAUUCCAGGAACUGCUUUGGCUUUCGCCAAGUCAAGAAAGUCAGCAAGAGUUAAGAAUUGACCCUUGUCCUUGUUAGCUGGGUUUCUUGGUAAACCUCCCAUGUCUUGUGAUAGAGGGUUCGUUAGUUGUGCUAAAAUGGCAAGAAUACAAUAUUCAGUACUACUACUCAACAAAAACUCCAGAAUCUCAAAACAUUGUUGAUAAAUAUCAUAAGAUAAAGGCUGUUAUGGGAAAGUAUACGUUUCAAACUUUGGAUUUCGCUCCAAGUGAGAUCAAAGGAAAAGAUUCCGUUUUUGGGCUGGAUUUCAGGGACGUUAGAGGAUCUAGACAUAAAGCUGGUGAUGGCAGUAGUGUCUCCCAAAAGGUCAGCUGAAUCAAGGCAGAAUGCUACACCAUCCUUUGACAUUUGGACUGAACAAUCAAUUACGUCUGCCCCAUCUCUGAUCGCCUUAUCAUAUGCCAGGUCAGUGCACCCUGCAUAGUCUCCGCUAGCCCCAUUGUGAGUAAUGAUCAAAGCGGCUGAAAUUAGAAACAAAAACCCACAUCAAAUCUGCCUCACUCCGUUUCAAGUACACCUUCAAAAGAGAGAUAAAACCACAAGUAUAGAAUGCUCACUUUUUGGACGCUUGGUGGCUUUUUUCUGGUGCGCUAGGCAUGCUGCAAAGAAACCAAAACCCAUAUUAAUCAAGGCGGAAUGCUCUACUCCAUUGUUUGAGAUAUAUAUGAUGAAAUGAUCGUUCAACCUUAAUUUAAUUUAUUUGCAACAAUCACAUACCGGUUGCUGCAGAUGCUGUAAAAGGGAAGUCUGUGAGCACACCAUCAACAGAAAACUGAUCGUUGUCGAUAAAUUGCAAAACCUCAGCAGUUGGAUCGUAGCUGUAGUUAUAGCUACCGGGGAAAUCAUUGGCGAAAUCAGAUGCAUAUAUUUCGAGGCCUUCUCUAUGGGCAUCAGCUACAAGAGUGGUAGGUGCUAAAAGAUAUUGUUCCUUGUUAACUGGCCAUAUGUAUGUCUUGGGCACUAGUAUACCCGAAGCAAAUUGCUUUAUGACUGCCAGAUUUUUCAAUACUUCACCAUAAGGCUGAUUUGUUGUAGGCUCAACUGCUUGUGGUUCUAGGAAUCUCAAAAUUAAUUUGGUGCGGACCUUGUCGACUUUAUUUACCAUGCUUUUUAAAAAGUUGAUCUCUGGAGAGGAUAUAUAACUAACCCGUCCAAGUUUUGUAUUCUGCAAGUAUGCUGCUGGGCUGAUUUUGUGUUGGUUAUAGAACAUGUCAUACUGCAAAAACCAGGUGCCGAAAAGGCAUAUCAAUUUCAAGACUGGAGGACAGGCUGAGAAAGGGCAAGUUCAGCGUACAACCGUCAGCAGUGUAAAUAGCUUUUAGGCUGGUAGCUGUUUUUAUAGCUACAACUACAACUAUUUAGACAGUACGUUGAACUUGUCCAAAAACCAAAAGGAAGAAAGCUAACCUGAACAUUAAACCAUAGGCUUGGAGGCUCUUUUGUAACUGUAGGCAAGUCUGUGGCUACCAUUAAUUGUUGACCAUCAAACACAUUUGGUCUAGUCAUAACAUUCUGAAAAGCUGGAAAAAUCAUAUUAUUAGAAAGAAAAAUAGAGGAAGAGGAGGAAGAGCACAAAAAAUAUUAUUUGUAAAACGUACAAGUUACAUUAGAUAAAAUAGCGUCAGCUGGAUAAUCUAUAGCAAACCACCCUCGAACAUCUUUUCCGUUAACAUUGUAAGUUUUUUCACCUCGAGGAAAGAUGUUCACG